rfam:Schistosoma rodhaini strain Burundi genome assembly, scaffold: SROB_scaffold0001742
AUCUAACUGACAAGUCCCAAAUAGGACAAAACACGCGUCUACCCAAACUAUAU